rnacentral:rRNA from 1 species
GGUUAAGCGACUAAGCGUACACGGUGGAUGCCCUGGCAGUCAGAGGCGAUGAAGGACGUGCUAAUCUGCGAUAAGCGUCGGUAAGGUGAUAUGAACCGUUAUAACCGGCGAUUUCCGAAUGGGGAAACCCAGUGUGUUUCGACACACUAUCAUUAACUGAAUCCAUAGGUUAAUGAGGCGAACCGGGGGAACUGAAACAUCUAAGUACCCCGAGGAAAAGAAAUCAACCGAGAUUCCCCCAGUAGCGGCGAGCGAACGGGGAGGAGCCCAGAGCCUGAAUCAGUGUGUGUGUUAGUGGAAGCGUCUGGAAAGGCGCGCGAUACAGGGUGACAGCCCCGUACACAAAAAUGCACAUGCUGUGAGCUCGAUGAGUAGGGCGGGACACGUGGUAUCCUGUCUGAAUAUGGGGGGACCAUCCUCCAAGGCUAAAUACUCCUGACUGACCGAUAGUGAACCAGUACCGUGAGGGAAAGGCGAAAAGAACCCCGGCGAGGGGAGUGAAAAAGAACCUGAAACCGUGUACGUACAAGCAGUGGGAGCACGCUUAGGCGUGUGACUGCGUACCUUUUGUAUAAUGGGUCAGCGACUUAUAUUCUGUAGCAAGGUUAACCGAAUAGGGGAGCCGAAGGGAAACCGAGUC